AUUGAACGCUGGCGGCAGGCCUAACACAUGCAAGUCGAACGAGUGGCGGACGGGUGAGUAAUGUCUGGGAAACUGCCUGAUGGAGGGGGAUAACUACUGGAAACGGUAGCUAAUACCGCAUACCAUCAGAUGUGCCCAAAGGGGAUUAGCUAGUUGGUGGGGUAACGGCUCACCAAGGCGACGAUCCCUAGCUGGUCUGAGAGGAUGACAAGCCACACUGGAAAUGAGAAGCGGUCCAGACGCCUACGGGAGGCAGCAGUGGGGAAUAUUGCACAAUGGGCGCAAGCCGGAGGAAGCCAGGCCGCGUGGAUGAAGAAGGCCUUCGGGUUGUAAAGUACUUUCAGCGGGGAGGCGUGACCCGCAGAAGAAGCAGCGGCUAACUCCGUGCCAGCAGCCGCGGUAAUAC
rnacentral:rRNA from 1 species